rnacentral:rRNA from 1 species
GAUGAACGCUGGCGGCGUGCUUAACACAUGCAAGUCGAACGAUGAAGCCCAGCUUGCUGGGUGGAUUAGUUGCGAACGGGUGAGUAACACGUGAGUAACCUGCCCUUAACUCUGGGAUAAGCCUGGUCAACUGGGUCUAAUACCGGAUAGGAGCGCCUACCGCAUGGUGGGUGUUGGAAAGAUUUAUCGGUUUUGGAUGGACUCGCGGCCUAUCAGCUUGUUGGUGAGGUAAUGGCUCACCAAGGCGAAGACGGGUAGCCGGCCUGUGAGGGUGACCGGCCACCAUGGGACUGAGACACGGCCCAGACUCCUACGGGAGGCAGCAGUGGGGAAUAUUGCACAAUGGGCGAAAGCCUGAUGCAGAGACGCCGCGUGAGGGAUGACGGCCUUCGGGUUGUAAACCUCUUUCAGUAGGGAAGAAGAGAAAGUGACGGUACCUGAAGAAGAAGCACCGGCUAACUACGUG